rnacentral:lncRNA from 1 species
GUCUUUUCAUUCAAUGCAUUGAACUGCUCCUGGAACACAGAAUAAGACAACCCAGCUUCCCACAGGACACCAUACCCUUUUCUGCAACAAUGGGGCCAACCCCCGUAGACAACAGGUUUUGGAGGGCAGGGACUGUCUCAUUCAUUUUAGUACUCUGGGGACCUGGUACCACAAGGCAUUUGAUAAAUGUUUGUUGAAUGAAACGUGAAUGAGGGAAACGUUUCACCUUAAGAGAAUUAAAACCUAUUUUCUAACAACGCAACAGCACCUGAGUGAGGCAAGGGUUCCUGGGAGAGAAGAGACACCCAAGAGAAUCAAACAGCAAGAAACAAAGGAGUAUGAAGUCUCUCUCAUUCCCUCUGAAUACCUAAAGCUCAGAACAGAAUUGAAAGACAGCUUGGCACCCAAGUUCCAAAAAGGAAACAUUCUGGACAAGAUAAAGGAGGUAAAGGGAGUAUCCAGUGAUAACAGAGGGAAAGAGUGGAGAAACACAAGUGGAAUCUGAAGGAAAAUGCCAAGUAGGAGUUGUUUGCUGCUGUUGUUGUUGUUGUUGUUGUUUUAAUAUGAAGUUAUCCUUCCUGUGUCUCACUAACCCUUACUGAAAUCUCAACUUAACAAAACAGCAUGCAAAUAUGCCACACUAACUAUGAGGAGGAGGGACUGGGGUCACAGAAGGAUUUUCUUUGCAUUUUUUUUUAAUUUUUUUUUUUAACGUUUAUUUAUUUUUGAGACAGAGACAGAGCAUGAACGGGGGAGGGUCACAGAGAGAGGGAGACACAGAAUCUGAAACAGGCUCCAGGCUCUGAGCUGUCAGCACAGAGCCCGACGCGGGGCUCAAACCCACGGACCGUGAGAUCAUGACCUGAGCCGAAGUCGGACGCUUAACCGACCAAGCCACCCAGGCGCCCCUCUUUGCAUUUUUAUAGCAGACGUAUUCUUGUUUCUAAGCGGAUGUCUCCGGUGCAGGGGUACUAAGAUUCAUUCUAUGAAAAUAAUUGGCCAAAUUUUAAAAAGAUGUAAAAAUGAUAUUUAUCUCCAAGUUAUUUAUAACAGUGAAAAAUAGGAAACAACCUGAAAGUGCUUCCACAGAGGGCUGGCUAAGUAAAUUAAUGUGCACCCAUACAACUAGGUUCUGGGUGGCCGUUUAAAAAAAUAGAGGGUAAUUGUUAUGGAAACAUAGCUGCAGAAUAUCGUUAAGUGGAAAAAGCAGCUAAUAAUAGUAUGCAUAAUAGGAGAUGACUUUUGAAAAAUAUAAAGAUACUUACACAGGAAAAAAAGUCUGGGAGAAUAUUAAUAGUGGUUAGUUCUGGGAGGUGGCAUUUUCCCCCCCCUCAACCUCUCACGGCAAUUACUUACUUUUAGAGAAACUACAGUUCCUUUUUCCAGAACAUACAGCGAACUACAC